UCCAUUUCAAAUGAUUAUCUGAAAUCUUGCAACUCUGUUUUGAACUGAAUAGUUUUGGACUUUGAUUUUAAACAAAUUAUUUGAUUCAAAAGAAAUUUGUUCAAUUGCACAUUUCGUUUAAAACAAAGUAAAUUUUCUUUCAACCAAAUAAAAUUGUUUUCAACAGAAAGGAAUAAUUUCUUUAAAUUAAAAUUUUAAACUUAGCAGAAAUUUUGGAUUGAGCAAGAACCGAAUUUCGAAUAAAGUUGUCCGGUUGUGUUGAAAAUCAAAACUAGUGAAUCAGAGAUAGCUAUUUAGGAGGAUUCAGGAUGAAGAAUGGACCACGGCUGAUUCCGCCCCAAAUCCAGCGGUCUGAUUAUCUUCGGUCCGAUCUUCAGUGACAAUCACCAGUUGGAUGACCUCUAAAGCUAGAGCUGCUUCCGGAACUCUAUUAAGCGGCCCAAAAAGAAUGCCCUCAGGCCAAAAUUAGGACCGGAUGAUUCAAUUAUAGUGAACCAGUGUUAGUGUUAAUUUUGUGAAUAAAAAAUAAUUUAAAAUGUAAA